GAUGAACGCUGGCGGCGUGCCUAAUACAUGCAAGUCGAGCGAACGGACGAGAAGCUUGCUUCUCUGAUGUUAGCGGCGGACGGGUGAGUAACACGUGGAUAACCUACCUAUAAGACUGGGAUAACUUCGGGAAACCGGAGCUAAUACCGGAUAAUAUUUUGAACCGCAUGGUUCAAAAGUGAAAGACGGUCUUGCUGUCACUUAUAGAUGGAUCCGCGCUGCAUUAGCUAGUUGGUAAGGUAACGGCUUACCAAGGCAACGAUGCAUAGCCGACCUGAGAGGGCGACCGGGCACAGUGGAACUGAGACGCGGUCCAGCGGACUAGUGCAGCCAGAGAGAGCGAGUGUCCAGCAAUGGGCGCAAGCUAGACUGAGCGACGCCGUGUGCGGAAUGAAGGCCAUCGGAUCAUACAACGCUGAUACUAAGAAAGAAAAUCUGUGUAAGUACGGGUACACAUCCUGACGGAACCAAAUCAGAAAGACACGGCUAACGCUGUGCGGGCAGCCGCGCUGAUAGAAGAGCACCCGUCUGACC
rnacentral:rRNA from 1 species